ensembl:lncRNA
AUUGGAUUUCAGCAAAUCCUUUCUUCUGAAUUUUUCAAUCAUUUUAACAACAUGUAGACCAAAUGUGAUGUUUCUAAACAUCACUUCAACCAACGUGUAUUUGGCAUACCUACAUUCUGUCAGAGACUGCAUUAAAUGCUGGGAAUUUAUUUCUGGAUGGUCAUAAUACAUGGCCCUGCCUUUGAAGAGGAGUCAGAUACACAAACAUCUUAUAAAAAUAAAGUUCAUGGUCAAAGAACACGGGGUUCUCCGAAGAAGCUCACCUAGUCUCGGGGGAAGGCAUUCUAGGGGAGACGCUCUUUGGUCCUCUCCCUGCCUCUCCACUUCCAUUUAAUGCCAUACACUGAAAUUUUCUGUGCUCAUCAAGGCUCUGCUCAAAUGCUUCUCUGCCCUCAAAGUGGCCCUGGUCCUCAUGCCCCAGCCCUGUGUAUUCUUUUCUCUUCCACAUUUCUCUAAGUACCUCAUCUACACUUUUUCUCAUAGGCAGGUUUCUUUAUACCUCAGGGUAAUGUUAUUUGCAUAUAUGUCCAUAUUUGCUCACAGGUGCUUCUGUAAUGCUUUCAGUAAAUAUUAGUUUGAUUGAGAGAAAGGUCUAUUUUAAAUAGAACACCUUGGUUAACUAAGAAGAAACAGGUUCUAUUUUGGUCUAGAUUGCCCAGAGUAUUAAGGUUUCAGUUUCAGUUUUUUCACAGAAAGCUAGUCUUUCUUCUGUCAGUUGCUUUAAGAGAACUCAAUUUUGUAUCCCUAGUUAGUCGAUUGCCUAUAUACAAAGCACGCUCUAAUGAUGAAUAAGAGGAUUCUGUAACUAAACAUUAAUGGACGCAGUUUAUUUUUGCUAAUAAAGACUUCAUAGAAACCAAGUUAUGCUAUUUUGUGAAAACAACUCUUAGGACUCUUUAGAUAUAUGGGAAAAAGUUCUCAGGUUAAUUUCCUUAAAAAAAGCAUCAGGAAUUAAAAGAGCGCUUAUUGACACUGAAGAUCACUUUCUGUUGAGUCAUCAGAUACGGCAUAUUGAGCAAUAUGAUUUACAUCAAUGUGCCUCGUGAAAUUGCCAAAUUAGAAUUUGUAUACUUUAGAUAAAAUUUAUGUCUUCACUGAGUGCCAAGUAUCUUGAAAGUUUUCUGAAAAUAUUAAUUGAAUUCAAUGAAUUUCUCAGUAAAAUGCAAACAACUUCUUAGUGUUGUUUUAAUCCCUGAUAGCAUAAUUUAUUUAUUAAGAUUUAAAGAGAAUAAAGUAAGUGGAAUUCAUUUGUAUGUGACUCUUGCAUUUUUUAAAAUAAAGUAACCAAAAUAGAUUAAGAUUAAAUAUAUUCAAAGCAUCCUCUCAGGGCCUCCUGUGUGAUGGACCCUACUUAGCUGCCGUGCAUUAGUAAGCUAGCGUUUGUUUGGUUUACCGAAGAUGAGUGGUGAAAAAUUUAGAGUUAAUAAAUAAAUAAAAAUCUGAUGAAUGUUUCAAGAAAAUAAUAGGAGAAGUAUAUCACCACCACACAGUAUUCAUGCAACGAGUGCGUAUUGCAUGCCUCUUCUGUGCUAGCCCUAUGAUAAGUACUGGGGAUACCAUAGUACUGUUGUUACAGCUUUUAUGGAGUGAACAGUCUAGCCACUUGUACACGAUUCUAUGUGCAUAUAUUCAACAAAUGUUGAUUGUCUCCUAUGCAGUAGGCUAAAUGUGCUGUUUUAUGCACUGCACUAGACACCAGGGCUACAGUGGAAGGCAGAACAGUAGAGACCUUGGAGGUCUUGCAAUGGGAGAAGCAGACAUUAAUUCAAUACUCCUCUAAAUAAAUACAUAAUUGCAAAUUUUGCUAAGAGCAGUGAAGGAAGACUGCAGUGUACUCUGAAUGUAUACGAGAAGAACCUGACUUGGCUAGUAGGGUUGGUGAAGUAUAGACGGAAGGGAGGCACACAAUUGGAGAGAGGAGAAAGGGACCCUAGAGAAGGAAAUCUAGACCUUGCUAGAUUUUGGUCUUUACUCCAAGGACCAUAGGAAGCCUUUGAAAUGUUUAAGUAAUGGUGAUCAGGUUUGUGUUUUCGAAACGAUCUCUCCCUGCCUUUGGUGGGGUGAACGGAAUGGAGAGGGUGCAAGUGGAAGCUGUGUGGUCAUCCAGGUGAGAGAUGAUGAAUGGUGGCUUGGACCAGGGUGGAGGUAGUGGAAAUAGAGAGAAGUAAUUAGAUCACAGAUAUUUAGGGGGCAAAGUGCCAGAUAUGGUCAGGAUGUGCUUAGAAUAUUUGUUGAAUGAAUGAAUAAAUAAAUUGAUGGAUUCAGGAGAUUAGGAGCUUGACCUAGUUAAAAAUCCACAAUUGAAGGAUUUUUAGACCAACAUUGAUGGCAGAAUAACUUUUCUUGGCUUGUUUAGCUAAAGUUCAAUUUGACUGAAAUGUAUAAAUUUGUUAAAAUAAUGCCUUUGGGUGAUUUUUCUGACAACCCUAAAAAUAAAUUAAAUGACCCAUAAACAUCCUAAACAGAGAGAAGUUAUGAUGAUCUAAGAUGUCUGGGUAUAUGCGUAUAUAGCAAGUGUUUUCUGAUGCAUGUUGCUCAUCUUUGGAAUGUCGUUUUAUGUGGUGAGGUUUUCAGAGUGCCAGUACUUUGGAAAAUGCAGAUUAAAAACCUCCCUCUGGGUAAAUCAGCAAAUAAUUGUGUAACCUGACGCUUUAGCUUUGUGUCUUGGGAAUUACAAUAUUAUAUUGUCCCUUCACUCCUCAGAAAUCAUUUCUUCUGUCAUGCAGCUGUUUGCUGUGUACCCUGGAGGUGACAGAUAAUGAUGAUAAGGAUGACUAACACCUUCGCUGGGCUCUCCUCGCUGCUGAGACCUACCUUCCCCUAGAGUGGUUCCCAUCUUCCCACUGGUUCACAUUCAGUUCUCCUUACUCCUUCCAGCUCUACAAGCUGUAAAAACACCUUCCAGAGUCACGUAGGGGAGAGAGAUUGUCCGCUGAAGACUCCAGAGGGGAACUGAGUCAAAUUCUCCCACGUUCACAUCACCUGGAGGACGUUUCCUUUCCCCCAGCCUCUGAUUAAUGAGACCAGACUGGUUCCUUCUGAUUAAGUAAACUAGACUUCAUUGUUCUGCUUUAUCUAUAUCAACACUGACGAAUAAAUUCUGUACUAGUUUGGAUCCAAUUCUGCAGUUUUUGUUCCAGGAUUAUCUUUUGUUUAGAUGCUGAUCGUAUAUGUUUGUUUUUCUAAAACAAUGAUUAAAAUUUAUCUUGUUAGUUAUCAGCCUACUCAGUCACUUAGUAAGUAAGAGGGGGAUGUGUAACAUUAAAAUUCCUCUAUCAUCCAGCAUGAGCACAUGAGGUUGUUUAAAAAUGGAUGUCCAGUGAAAACAUCUUAAAGUACCUUGGAGGUACUUUUAUAUAAUGAAAAAGGUAAUAUAAAAUGUAAUUAAAUAUUUAAGAGUAUCAUAACUUAAAAAUAUGCCCUGAAAAUAUCUGUUUAACAGUAUGAGUUGCUCCUUUUGAAAACUUAUAACACUUAUAGAAAUGAAUGAGGAGGUGUCAUAUCUUCCAAAAGGAGUUGACUAAUUCUCCUCACCGCUUGUUAAAUAAUCAGUGUAUACCACGUGUGGAGCAAUGACACUUUUGGCAAUUAAAAAUGAUGAUGACUUACCUUAUUCCAUUUGCUCCAAUGCAACAAAGAAAAAUCAUGUGUAAAACUUUCAGUUCAUAAAAGCUAAGUUUAUUUUCAAUAGAUUAUGUAAAGACAUAUAUAGUUGGUGCUAAGUAAAUAUUUGUUGAAUGAAUGGAUACACAAAUAAAUCUGUGGUGCUCCACAUGUAUACAUAAAUAUUUCAAUUGAACAUUGUUUGAAAAAAAUAAAAAUUAUGUUUCAA